rnacentral:lncRNA from 1 species
AGAAGACUGGUGGCUGAUCUCAGGUUUUCCAGUAUGAAAGUGAGAAGCCUGGAGUCUCAUAGGUUUGUCUUUGACCCUAAUGCUUCUGAGACCCCCUCAGUGCCCACCCUACUCUGCCUUCCUGGUCAGGUCAAUGGGCCUGAAGAACCAAGUUUUCCCACCCUUAAUUCUUUGUUUUCCAGAAAUGUGGACGCUCCACCCGCUGUUCAGCUUAGCUCUGCCUUGGCUGACUCCACAGCUGGGAAGGGAGGCUUCCCACUGAUCUGGGUAGCGGGCGCCCCCAAAAGUUCACCUUUCUAUGAGCUGAAUCUCACCUCACCAGAAGGUCCCUCCUCCGCGAGGCAUCCCUGCUUCUACAGAGCUGCACCCCCACAGACUGUUCAGAAGAGGAGAGUCCCAGCACAUGCACGGAUCCAGGAUUUUGGGUCAUCCCCCUCUGGACGCUUCUUAAAGGAGGGAGCCCAAUGUGGUGGAUGGAGGGAGC